CAUUAUUUUAUAUAAAAAAAUAGUCUAAAUAUACGAGUAUUAAAUAGCGUGAGCAACUUAUUGGUAUCGUUUUGUCCGUCCGCCGUCUGUCCAUAAGCAGGAUAUCUCCAGAAAGAGUUAACAUAAUCAAAUUCCGUUGUGCUUCUAAUUUCUAGUCCUCGGUCAAGUUCUUAAAUGGGGACCAUCAGACCACACCCCACUGCGCUGGGGGGUGUGGUCCAAAAUGUAAUCUUAAUUUUCAUAUGGGGUGUCAUUUUGAAGGAAAUUUGACCUAGAGUUUAAGGACAUUAAAAUUUGUUGACCUCUUGAGGUCAAUUGUCAAAAACACUUAAUAGGCGGUCAUUUUAAAGGAUAUUUCUAUCGUGCCAGCGCUACUUUUUUAUGGGUCCUAUUUAACUGAUCAUAAUUUAAUACUACUUCAGACCAUAAUUAAUACUUUUUUCCUGAAUACUCCAUCUCAUCAUAAUGGAAUCCAACUCGACCGUAACUGGAAUACUAACUUAUUCAUAAUAAAUUCUUCGUCGACCAUAGCCAAGUUAUUGGCGAAUUCUCUUCAGUUUUUCAUGUCAGAGCAAGGAUUAUACAAGUAUUGUGUAAAAAAUGUAUUUUUUAAACAUAGUACUUGGAAAUAUUUCGAUAAAAAGUUGAAAAAUUUACGGAUGAGAUACAUAUCUGUUGAUAAUUGUAUAAAUUUAUUCUAAAAUUCGAAUGAGACCCAUUACCACUGCAAAUUGUAAUAAAAAUAACCGAAUCCGGUUACCUAAUUUAAUAAUCCUUAAAUUAUUGCAAUUACCCAUAGAGAGAUAUAACUUCUAUCAAAGUCAUCUUAUAUCAUAUAAGACGAUUUUGAUUUUAUUUGCUGCAAAGAUAAAGGAAUGUUUGUCAUAGCUAAAUUUUUUCGAAAAAGCAUUUGAAAUUCUCCAUCACGGGUAUCAACUACUUCAAUCUCCGAGAGCCACCCAUAUCGAUUAUUUUGACAAUUCCUUGACUGCAAACAAAUACAUAGGUUCAUCUGCACAUGUCCAUCAUAGUUUAAGACAUAGUUUGUAAGCACAUAAUGCUAUAAAACUUAAAAAUUUUCACCCUCCACCCCAGGCUAAAUGCAUACCAAUUUAAUGGAAAAGCAACCGUGAUAGUUCAGAAAAACCUAUGUAGUAAUUUGUGGAUGACUAAAAAUAGAAAAGUUUGUAAGGUUUAUUCAAAUUUCAUAUUUUAAAACGAUUUUAAAGUAUGUUUUUACUUAUGGCAAAAUCGAGUAAUUAUUAUAAACAACCAAGCACUUUAUUAUGGUGAGAGAGAGUAUUCAGGAAAAAAGUAAUAAUUAUGGUCAGAAGUAGUAUUAAAUUAUGAUGAAUUAAACAUUUUCUCGUUUUGGGUAUAUUCGUUUGUACGAGUAUAUUUUGAAUUAUAAUCGUUUGUGAUCCUCCAUGGCUAUAAUUGAUUUGAGAAUUUUGGUGGCUGGAAGAAAAUGAAAUCUAGCUGGUCCGACAGAUUAAUCUGCCCACUCAUAGUCCCAGAUGAUACUUAAUCCACAAACCUUGACUACUCUACAUAAUUAUGAACACUGAAGAAGCCCGUGACGGAAUCCAUCGUUGGGAUGAAACUAACGUUGCAGAUUUAUCAGCCUUGCUUGAAUCUCUCAACUUCCUGGGCGACAGGGGGAGCGGUGUCCCGAACACCGUGAACCAUGGUGUUCCUAUGAUGCAAACUGCUCAGCGUCAGAACCAAGGACAACCUGUCAACAAUGUUUUGCCACUCAAUAAUCAACUAAAAGCUGCCCCACUAUCAAAUAUAGAUCCCGCAAAGGGAAAACUGAUCCAACAACAACUUAUCCUGCUCCUGCAUGCACACAAGUGUCAGAGACUGGAAAGUCAAGCUCUCAAUGGUAAAGAGUGUACCCUUCCGUAUUGUCGGUUAAUGAAGGACGUGUUGGCGCACAUGGUUACCUGCCGUGCCGGAAAAUCUUGCACGGUCACGCAUUGUUUGACCUCUCGUCGAAUCUUAUCGCAUUGGAAACAUUGUACGCCAGCCGACUGUCCUGUUUGCCUUCCGCUCAAAAGAUAGAGUCAAUCCAACUCAGAAUAUGUAUAACCUUUUCUGAAGCUACACCGGGAUCGAGUUCCAUUGUCAGCCAAAAUAAUUAAGAAUCAGGAGCAGGACAAUUUUAAAAUAAACUGCUGCAAUGCAGGGUACCCAAGUAGUGCAAAAAUUCAGAUAAUGCGAUGCAACAUAAAGAGAAUAAAUAACGAUGAUUAAAGAUCGCCGAAAUCUGAAUUAAUUAAAAAUAA